rnacentral:rRNA from 1 species
AUUGAACGCUGGCGGCAUGCUUUACACAUGCAAGUCGAACGGUAACAGGCCGCAAGGUGCUGACGAGUGGCGAACGGGUGAGUAAUGCAUCGGAACGUGCCCAGUCGUGGGGGAUAACUACUCGAAAGAGUAGCUAAUACCGCAUACGAUCUAUGGAUGAAAGCGGGGGACCGUAAGGCCUCGCGCGAUUGGAGCGGCCGAUGUCAGAUUAGGUAGUUGGUGGGGUAAAGGCUCACCAAGCCAACGAUCUGUAGCUGGUCUGAGAGGACGACCAGCCACACUGGGACUGAGACACGGCCCAGACUCCUACGGGAGGCGGCAGUGGGGAAUUUUGGACAAUGGGCGCAAGCCUGAUCCAGCAAUGCCGCGUGCAGGAAGAAGGCCUUCGGGUUGUAAACUGCUUUUGUACGGAACGAAACGGCUCUGGUUAAUACCCGGGGCUAAUGACGGUACCGUAAGAAUAAGCACCGGCUAACUACGUG